ACAUCGAAGUUAAGCAUCAUUGGGCGCGGUCAGUACUUGGGUGGGUGACCACCUGGGAACACUGCGUGCCGUU